GGAGGGGUGCAAGCGUUAAUCGGAUUCAUUGGGCGUAAAGGGCGCGUAGGCGGGGGGAAGGCAAGUCAGAUGUGAAAUCCCGGGGGCUUAACCCCGGAACUGCAUUUGAAACUGCUUUUCUUGAGGAUAGGCGGAGAAAACGGAAUUCCAUGUGUAGCGGUGAAAUGCGUAGAUAUAUGGAAGAACACCCGUGGCGAAGGCGGUUUUCUAGCUUAUUCCUGACGCUAAGGCGCGAAAGCAAGGGGAGCGAACAGGAUUAGAUACCCUGGUAGUCCUUGCCGUAAACGAUGCAUACUAGGUGUAGCUGGACUCAACCCCGGCUGUGCCGGAGCUAACGUGUUAAGUAUGCCGCCUGGGGAGUACGCUCGCAAAGGGUGA
rnacentral:rRNA from 1 species